UACGGGGGGGGGCAAGCGUUGUUCGGAAUUACUGGGCGUAAAGGGCUCGUAGGUGGCCAACUAAGUCAGACGUGAAAUCCCUCGGCUUAACCGGGGAACUGCGUCUGAUACUGGAUGGCUAGAGUUUGGCAGAGGGGGGUAGAAUUCCACGUGUAGCAGUGAAAUGCGUAGAGAUGUGGAGGAACACCGAUGGCGAAGGCAGCCCCCUGGGUCAAAACUGACGCUCAUGCACGAAAGCGUGGGGAGCAAACAGGG
rnacentral:rRNA from 1 species